AAACCAGCACCUCAAGUGGUCAGGAUGAUUAUUGGGCCUAAAGCAUCCGUAGCCGGCUCUGUAAGUUUUCGGUUAAAUCUGUACGCUCAACGUACAGGCUGCCGGGAAUACUGCAGAGCUAGGGAGUGGGAGAGGUAGACGGUACUCGGGAGGAAGUGGUAAAAUGCUUUGAUCUCUCGAUGACCACCUGUGGCGAAGGCGGUCUACCAGAACAUGUCCGACGGUGAGGGAUGAAAGCUGGGGGAGCAAACCGGAUUAGAAACCCCAGUAGUCC
rnacentral:rRNA from 1 species